rnacentral:tRNA from 1 species
GCGCCCGUAGCUCAGCUGGACAGAGCACCGGACUUCUAAUCCGAUGGUCGAAGGUUCGAAUCCUUCCGGGCGCGCCA